rnacentral:rRNA from 1 species
CUACGGGUGGCAGCAGUGAGGAAUAUUGGUCAAUGGACGGAAGUCUGAACCAGCCAUGCCGCGUGCAGGAAGAAUGCCCUAUGGGUUGUAAACUGCUUUUAUUUGGGAAUAAACUCCGGUACGUGUACCGGCCUGAAUGUACCAAAUGAAUAAGCACCGGCUAACUCCGUGCCAGCAGCCGCGGUAAUACGGAGGGUGCAAGCGUUAUCCGGAAUCAUUGGGUUUAAAGGGUCCGCAGGCGGAUUUGUAAGUCAGUGGUGAAAGCCUACAGCUUAACUGUAGAACUGCCAUUGAUACUGCAAGUCUUGAAUUCGAUCGAAGUGGGCGGAAUAUGUCAUGUAGCGGUGAAAUGCUUAGAUAUGACAUAGAACACCGAUAGCGAAGGCAGCUCACUAGGCCUGGAUUGACGCUCAUGGACGAAAGCGUGGGUAGCGAACAGGAUUAGAUACCCCCGUAGUC